ACGACCUUACUUGAACAGGAUCUGUUCUAUAGGCUCGUACCUCUGUAUCUUUGACUUCUAAAGAGACAGGAAACUAAGUUUGGUGGAUGAACCAUGGUGGAUGAACUAUAGGGGUGGGCAUUCGGGUCGGGUUAUUCGGGUAUAACCCGAUCCGGUCGGGUGGUAAUUUUUGACGUAACCGGGUUUUUCCCGGGUUCGGGUACCCGGUGCUCCCAAACC
rnacentral:snoRNA from 1 species